AGUGGGAUUGCUGAGUCACAUGGUAAGCAUAUAUUUAAUUUUACAGAAACUGCCCAACUGUUUUCCAGAGUGGCUGUACCAUUUUGCAUUCCCACUAGCAAU
rnacentral:pre_miRNA from 1 species